rnacentral:rRNA from 1 species
UACGUAGGGGGGCAAGCGUUGUCCGGAAUUAUUGGGCGUAAAGAGCGUGUAGGCGGUCCGGUAAGUCCGCUGUGAAAGUCGGGGGCUCAACCCUCGAAUGCCGGUGGAUACUGUCGGGCUAGAGUGCGGAAGAGGCGAGUGGAAUUCCUGGUGUAGCGGUGAAAUGCGCAGAUAUCAGGAGGAACACCUAUUGCGAAGGCAGCUCGCUGGGACGUAACUGACGCUGGAGACGCGAAAGCGUGGGGAGCGAACAGG